UUUUAUAAUAAUAACUGUUCAAUCGCUACAGAGAUGAAUCACCGCACAGUUACAUUUUUUGGAUUUCGAUGCGUCUUCCGUGUAAUCGUCGCCGUUGUUUACGUUCCACGAUCGCUCGAUUACGUAAUAUCGCUUAAAAGCAAACGUGACGUUUUCCAGUCGCGAUACAUCCACACACGUCCGCCCAAGCGUUCCGCUUCGAAUUCCUCGCGUAGUUUGCGUGCUUCUUGCGACCUCUGUCUUUAAAAAAAUUAUACAAUUGCAUGAAUGGAUCAAUUGAUAUCUAAGAAAAAUCAAAUUUAAUUUUUUCUCGAAUUUAAUUUAGGAUAUGUUAUUAAAUUUGUUCAAAUUGAAAUUUCUAAUAUUUAAAUUUUUCUUAUUUUUCACUUUCGAUCAAAAAUCGAAUUAGCUAUUCGUGCUUUUAAUUUUUUUCAAAGAUUAAUCGUAAAUCGAAAUAAAAUAAAUAGUGUUCAUUGUUCACUACUGGCUUUCUUGGUUAAUUGCUCAAACAACAUACAUGGGAUACACGUGCUUCACUUCUAUCAGUUGUUCUUACGGAUUUCCGUUUGUGGUUUGUGGCACAUAUAAUUGUUACUAUUUUCUCACGAAUAUAUGACGCAACAAUUCUUCGAUAAUUUCUUCUUAUUCUAAACAUUUAAUUCAAUUUAUUUCUUGAUUUUU